CAAGGGUUGGUGUGGUGGUUCAGCACCUUACCCCUUAAGUAAGAGGUUGGGGGUUCGAUCCCCCCUCUCUAGU
rnacentral:tRNA from 1 species